rnacentral:lncRNA from 1 species
GCGCUCCUCCCACCGCCCUGGCCGGACACUGGAGCUGAGAAUUUCAACUGAGUCAAAGAGAUCCAGUGUCACAAGCACCACUGCUGUGAGAGCCAAAGAAACAUGGGAAAGAGACAACAGGAAGUGAAGAGAAGGAUGUGUUUCCAAAUGGCCUGGAAGAAGAGUUAAAAAGAUAAUUAUAAAAUCUCUGCUUUUUCUUAUAUGUGGGGAAAACCAACUUUCUGAAGGGCGCUUCCAUAUGAGUAAAUCAGCUGAUAAAGAAACGUUCUUCAAAAAACAAACAAGCACUCCUUGAUUUGAUAAUCAAAUGAGGGACGCAUGGCAAACUUUUUGAAUAUGGUAAUUUCAUUUUUCCUUGAUACAAGAAUCAAUUCCAAAUUGCAGAUGCUUCUCUUACUGAGAUGUUUACCAAAUUUUAAAAGAGCAAUCAGAAAAACUCCUUGAACAAUAGAGAGAAGAAAAAUUUUGGUGAUUAAGAUCAUGAAGCUCAGAAGACUCCUCUUGCAAUAUCAGAUUAAUGCCCCAAAGUGAUCAACAAGUUCCUAACGUAGCACAGAGAGACAGCAGAAUGGCUGCUACUCACUGCAAAUGCAUCGCUGGAAGUAAAUGUGGACUUUAACAAAAAGUCUUUUAAAAAUUCCUGCUCUCUUGUGAAACGAUCCUGUGUGAGUGAGGGUGGGGGUUUCAGGAGACAUGAAACAAGGCUGAAAUAAGGAACAGGUUAGAUAGCAUCAUGCCUCAAGUAGGAAAACGUUUUUAAUAAUUCUAACGUAUUACCUUCUCCUUAAAAUAAACUCUAAGUGUGCCUGUCGCUUUAUAGGUGCUCAAUAAAUGGUUUUUAAGAAAAAAAUUCCUUUAUAACAAAAAGUGUUAUCUCUUUUAGCCUCUUUUACU